CAAAGAUGGCGUUGAAAGAAUUCGUGUCAAUGUAGAGAUUAUUAGAGUUGUAUGACCCAAAUUCUAAGAGAUUGCUUACAAGUCAAGUUAAAUAAAAAUAUAUUUUCUUUCUAGGAGAUUUAGUAUUUAUUAGUAUAAUAUAUUUCACAUUUAUUAGCAUAGUUUAUUGGACUUGCUAAUUUAGCCUAUAAAUAGGCUCUUUUACAACCUUAGAAAGACACACC
rnacentral:lncRNA from 1 species